CACACCAAUUUACCACACACACAGGUACUCUUAAGAGAGUUUGAGAAGAUUGAGUUGGCAAUAUCCUUGGAAGAAUAUCAAAUCCAGCAUCUGAUGAGCAAAGAAAUGAAAAGCCUUCUGGAAAAAAGAAAGCUGAUAUUGCUGUAGCAGUUUCUUCUCCUUCAUAUUAAGGUAACCCCAGUGUAAGAGUCUUCACUUUUAACAACGCUAUUGUUAUCUGGUACAGGAUUCAAUUAGUGGGGUGUUAUUUUCUAUUA
rnacentral:lncRNA from 1 species